rnacentral:lncRNA from 1 species
GGCAUUCCGUAUUAAUUAGAUACAAUGAGGGUAAUGGCUUUCUCUGAAAGGGGCUCGCUUCUUCAAGCUCUGCACAACCUAUACAAGGUGCUGCUCGCUUUCUCUCAGCCACUAGUGGCUUAAGAAUCCUACCAAGACCUUCGAGAUUAAGAGCGCUAGAGCUAGAAGCGGCAGCCAUUAAGUGGAGAAUUUCCAUCUAUUUGCUGUCUCGUUCGCUACCAACUAAAACUAAAACAGGAGGAAAGAGAAGUCUUCCUUCUUCUAGAGCUGCUUUCAAAGGGUGAUCGCUUUACUAAGUAGCUUUCACGCUCCCCAGCCCGGAGAUGAGGAGACGAAUGUGAGGCCCAGACCAUAAGCUAAGGUCAAUCGAGUGCACCUAGAAUGACGAGUUCAAAAGCCAGGUUCAGUAGACUGGGAGACCCCGCUCUCUCCACAAUAUCCUUAAAGACCUCUCUUGUCAAGGGGCUAUCAGCCCUCUCAAAGAGCGAAUUGUGCCCUUCUUUAUGACACCCCACCUAGCUUGGCC